GAUGAACGCUGGCGGCGUGCCUAAUACAUGCAAGUCGAGCGAACGGACGAGAAGCUUGCUUCUCUGAUGUUAGCGGCGGACGGGUGAGUAACACGUGGAUAACCUACCUACAAGACUGGGAUAACUUCGGGAAACCGGAGCUAAUACCGGAUAAUAUUUUGAACCGCAUGGUUCAAAAGUGAAAGACGGUCUUGCUGUCACUUAUAGAUGGAUCCGCGCUGCAUUAGCUAGUUGGUAAGGUAACGGCUUACCAAGGCAACGAUGCAUAGCCGACCUGAGAGGGUGAUCGGCCACACUGGAACUGAGACACGGUCCAGACUCCUACGGGAGGCAGCAGUAGGGAAUCUUCCGCAAUGGGCGAAAGCCUGACGGAGCAACGCCGCGUGAGUGAUGAAGGUCUUCGGAUCGUAAAACUCUGUUAUUAGGGAAGAACAUAUGUGUAAGUAACUGUGCACAUCUUGACGGUACCUAAUCAGAAAGCCACGGCUAACUACGUGCCAGCAGCCGCGGUAAUACGUAGGUGGCAAGCGUUAUCCGGAAUUAUUGGGUGUAAAGCGCGCGUAGGCGGUUUUUUAAGUCUGAUGUGAAAGCCCACGGCUCAACCGUGGAGGGUCAUUGGAAACUGGAAAACUUGAGUGCAGAAGAGGAAAGUGGAAUUCCAUGUGUAGCGGUGAAAUGCGCAGAGAUAUGGAGGAACACCAGUGGCGAAGGCGACUUUCUGGUCUGUAACUGACGCUGAUGUGCGAAAGCGUGGGGAUCAAACAGGAUUAGAUACCCUGGUAGUCCACGCCGUAAACGAUGAGUGCUAAGUGUUAGGGGGUUUCCGCCCCUUAGUGCUGCAGCUAACGCAUUAAGCACUCCGCCUGGGGAGUACGACCGCAAGGUUGAAACUCAAAGGAAUUGACGGGGACCCGCACAAGCGGUGGAGCAUGUGGUUUAAUUCGAAGCAACGCGAAGAACCUUACCAAAUCUUGACAUCCUUUGACAACUCUAGAGAUAGAGCUUUCCCCUUCGGGGGACAAAGUGACAGGUGGUGCAUGGUUGUCGUCAGCUCGUGUCGUGAGAUGUUGGGUUAAGUCCCGCAACGAGCGCAACCCUUAAGCUUAGCUGCCAUCAUUAAGUUGGGCACUCUAAGUUGACUGCCGGUGACAAACCGGAGGAAGGUGGGGAUGACGUCAAAUCAUCAUGCCCCUUAUGAUUUGGGCUACACACGUGCUACAAUGGACAAUACAAAGGGCAGCGAAACCGUGAGGUCAAGCAAAUCCCAUAAAGUUGUUCUCAGUUCGGAUUGUAGUCUGCAACUCGACUACAUGAAGCUGGAAUCGCUAGUAAUCGUAGAUCAGCAUGCUACGGUGAAUACGUUCCCGGGUCU
rnacentral:rRNA from 1 species